rnacentral:tRNA from 2 species
GGAACUUUAGCUCAGUUGGUUUAGAGCGCUGCCUUGACAGGGCAGAGGUCGUGGGUUCGAAUCCCUCAAGUUCCAC